rnacentral:rRNA from 1 species
UCAGGAUGAACGCUGGCGGCGUGCCUAAUACAUGCAAGUCGAGCGAACCACUUCGGUGGUGAGCGGCGAACGGGUGAGUAACACGUAGGUGAUCUGCCCAUCAGACGGGGACAACGAUUGGAAACGAUCGCUAAUACCGGAUAGGACGAAAGUUUAAAGGUGCUUCUGGCACCGCUGAUGGAUGAGCCUGCGGCGCAUUAGCUAGUUGGUAGGGUAAAGGCCUACCAAGGCGACGAUGCGUAGCCGACCUGAGAGGGUGAACGGCCACACUGGGACUGAGACACGGCCCAGACUCCUACGGGAGGCAGCAGUAGGGAAUCUUCGGCAAUGGGCGAAAGCCUGACCGAGCAACGCCGCGUGAAUGAUGAAGGCCUUCGGGUUGUAAAAUUCUGUUAUAAGGGAAGAACGACUUUAGUAGGAAAUGGCUAGAGUGUGACGGUACCUUAUGAGAAAGCCACGGCUAACUACGUGCCAGCAGCCGCGGUAAUACGUAGGUGGCGAGCGUUAUCCGGAAUUAUUGGGCGUAAAGAGCGCGCAGGUGGUUGAUUAAGUCUGAUGUGAAAGCCCACGGCUUAACCGUGGAGGGUCAUUGGAAACUGGUCGACUUGAGUGCAGAAGAGGGAAGUGGAAUUCCAUGUGUAGCGGUGAAAUGCGUAGAGAUAUGGAGGAACACCAGUG